rnacentral:lncRNA from 1 species
CUUUCACUUUGGUUUUGUCCCUCCUUGCUCGCGCAGGAUCUCCAGGCUGCAUGCUGUAGUAGGACCAGAUGGAUCGUUAAAUAAUUAAAUACUUUCACAGGCCCUGGGGACCCCAGGAGCUCCCAGUGAUCCGGCAAUUAAAGGGUUACUGCCUGUUCCAGCAGGAGGCCUCCCGGGACCCUGUCCCAGCGCUUUGGCUCUAUCCAUUUGCGUUCAGCAGGGUUAUCAUAAGUCCAAGAGAAAACACGAAUAUUUCAAGAGAAACUCCUAUAAUCUUGAUGUUCACGGAGUGCCACAGACUCCUUUGUCCAUGAGUAGUGAAAAUGUGAAGGAAGAGAACCUACUUUUGAAUCAAAGAGACUGGGGCCCUGCCAGUGACCAGCGUGUGACUCUCAGAAACCACCUAACCUCUCUGGGCCUUAGUUUGCCUCAUUUGUAGACUGGGCACAAUGUUACCACCCUUCAGGUUUGUGCCAAGGAUUAGAGUUUAUGGGUGCAAAGCCCUUGUCACAGUGCCCGGCAGGUCGUGGCUGCUCAGGAAACAAUAGCCGUAAUCGUUAUUAGCAUCGUUGUGUCCGUGAUUCAGAGGACACCAGCUUUUUCCAUCAAAGUUUUCACUUUGAAACUGAUAAAAUGUCAGAGCUACCAAAGAGGAGUUUGUAAAAUGCAUGUCAGAAUUUCUAAGACCACAAAUAUACAAUUCCAAGCUGAACAAUAAUUUUCUGCCUAUCAUUUUGGGGCCAGUAUAUGUUGAUUUUAGAUGGGAAUUCUUUGAUUUUUUUUUUUAGCAUCAUUGGGUAUGGAAAUCCUGUACUAGUACCAGACAUCAAAACAAUUUACAUAGCUGUAUUUGUGAGAUAAUGUAAAUUCCAUAGAAAAUCGUGUUUGAAUGAUUAUAAAUGUUAUUCCAGUAUCAGCCCAAGAUUUUUAAAUAAUUAAUUUAGCUAUUAAAUUUAACAUUAUUUAAAUAUAAUCAAAAUGAUCUAAAUGUAUCUUUUGAAUAUUUUGAACUUUGCAAGUUGAUUUCAUUGUAUACGUUGACAGCUGAGGUAGCCUGUCUCAUAAAGCUAUAUUAAAUCUUGAAAAAAAUGAAACAACUUAGAAAAAUCUUUCCAAAUUCUGUGAAAUGACUUUCUAUUUAUUGUUCACAUGUAGCUCAGAAUAUUUUAAUGUAUGCAUGUACGCUAAAAUAAUCAAAAUUAUAUAUUCUAAAACCACGCCUUGAGUUUCUAUAACACAAGUGACACACGCUCUGGAAUGGGGUUUGAGGAGCACAUUUAGUAAGCUGAUUAAUGACUCUCCGUAAUACAGGAUUUAAAGUCUUCUUCCAAAGCAUAUUUAUCUGUUUUAUUUCUCAUGAAACUUUGAAUUUUAUUUGAGUACCUCCACGUCAUUUUUGUGUUUAUCUUGAAAAACCGUAUUUAACAUUUUGUAAAGAU